GCCAUGGACAGGCUUACUUCCUCAUUCCUACUGCUGAUAGUCCCUGCAUAUGUCCUGGCCCAGGUGACUCUGAAAGAGUCUGGCCCUGGGAUAUUGCAGCCCUCCCAGACCCUCAGUCUGACUUGCUCUUUCUCUGGGUUUUUACUGAGCGCUUCUAGUGUGGGUGUGGGCUGGAUCCGUCAGCCUUCAGGGAAGGGUCUGGAGUGGCUGGCAACCAUUGGGUGGGAGGAUGUUAAGCACUACAACCCAUCUCUGAAGAGCCGGCUCACAGUCUCCAAGGACACCUCCAACAACCAAGUAUUCCUCAAGAUCACCAGUGUGGACACUGCAGAUACUGGAACAUACUACUGUGCUCACAGUGCACACUGACACAGCCUCAGUUUUCAGCUGUACAGUAUUUCAGGCUGCUUCUCAGCUCUGUUCCUUCCUAUUAUAUCAUAAGAAUGUAUGAUAUAAUACAUGG
rnacentral:lncRNA from 1 species